rnacentral:pre_miRNA from 1 species
AUCCUAAUCACCUGGGGAUCUUGUUAAAGUGCAGAUUCUGAUUCAUCAGGUCUGAGAAGUACAUUCCACAUCUCUAACAAGCUCCCAGGUGAUGUCAUU